rnacentral:pre_miRNA from 1 species
CAACUACUCCCUCUGUCCCAAAUUUCUUGUCUUAGAUUUGUCUAGAUACGGAUGUAUCUAAUACUAAAAUGUGACUUGAUACAUCCGUAUCUAGAAAAAUCUUAGACAAGAAUUUUGGGACGGAGGGAGUACUUU